rnacentral:rRNA from 1 species
UACGUAGGGUGCGAGCGUUGUCCGGAAUCAUUGGGCGUAAAGAGCGUGUAGGCGGCUCGGUAAGUCCGCUGUGAAAGUCCAGGGCUCAACCCUGGAAUGCCGGUGGAAACUGUCGAGCUAGAGUCCGGAAGAGGCGAGUGGAAUUCCCGGUGUAGCGGUGAAAUGCGCAGAUAUCGGGAGGAACACCAAUUGCGAAGGCAGCUCGCUGGGACGUCACUGACGCUGAGACGCGAAAGCGUGGGGAGCAAACAGG